rnacentral:lncRNA from 1 species
UUUUUUAUAUUUACCUUCUGAAAUAAUAAAGAGCUGAAGCUUGAGUUAAUCGGGCAAACACUGGGCUGCAACAGCCCAGAUUCCACCACCUAACGGCUAUAACCGUUUGAAAAUAAGCAUAUAACUAAUAAAUCCUCUUCUCAUUUCAUUCAAUUUCAAAUCCGUCAAUCCCCUUUCUCUCCCAAAGGUUCUUUCAAUCUCUGUGAGAAACCACUUUCUCUGUUGUUUUUACUCUCCCUCUUCUCACAUCUUUUUUUCUCCAUUUCACUUCUUCAAGAAGGAAUUCGAGAAAUCACAACCCCUUUCACAUGGCGUAUCUGUGAAUCUGUUACCUAGUACAAUUCUGAGUCUCUUUUCUUUUCCCUUUUCUUUUUCUCUGUUUGGCUGCUAGGAUUCGGAAAAGUGAGGGAGAAAACCUUGAGUUUAUUUUUUUCGAAUUGCCAUUUCCUCAGUUUCGUUUCUUUUUCUUGGAAUGGUUUUAUUAUGGAUUAUUUCAUGAUUUAUCAGUUUCUCUCUUUUUGCAUGAAUGAUUUUGGGGUUUUUGUUGCUUCGUAUUUUUUACAUUGUGCAUCCAAGCUAGCCCAUGCUUAAUUUCUGAUAAAUGCAGAAAAAAGUUAAGAAAAAUGAGAUAUUUUAAGUCUUCCCUUUCAUAAUUGUCCUCUCACUCGAUAGUCUCCAUUUCACUUCUUCAACAAGGGAACCGAGGAAUCACAACUUCUUUCAUAGUAUGGCGUAUCACCAGGUACAUUUCCGAGUCUCUUUUCCCUUUUUUUCUCUUUUCGCUGUUUGGUUGCUAGGGUUGCAGAUCUGGAAAUAAAAACAUAACAUUUGGUUUUAUUAUGGAUUAUUUCAUGAUUUAUCAGAAAAAAAUGGAAGAAAAAUAAGAUCUUUAAAAAGCUUUUCUAGGCUUUUGCCCUCAUAGGAUAAGUCUUUUAGUUACGGCCAUAUGCGGUCCAAAACACCCAAAAGCCUAAGAUUCAAAAUUUACUUGCGUUCUUUAUGCAUCUAGUUCCAAGUUCUAUGUGUGUUGGAUGAUCAUGCAACACAAUUAAACAGAGCGAGUAUAAGCUCUGACUAGAUAUGCUGGGAACAGGUAUAGUGACAUCAAGUUCAAGGGAGAUGCUUGGAGAGGAGAUAUCCAUUGCAAGCCCACUUUCCUAGUGCCAACUAAUAAGACCACCCUUAGCUGCACAAUAAACAGUUUAAAAAUUUUUUUUUUUUUGAAAUAGGGGUGGAGAAGUCGAACCUUAGACCUCACAAUGCUGCUAGAAUGCACUUUCCACUAAGCUAGACUAAGCCUUGGAGUGCAAACCAUUUAAAAAUUUAAAAGUAUAAAUACAUAGAUAUAAUUUAUUUUUAUAUGAAUUUCAUUAUAAUUAUUAUAUUUUAUCCACUUAAAUUGAAUCAUAAGACUUAUUUAUAUGAAAAUUUUAAAAUUUUUUAUUAUUUUAUAAUUUAAUUUAAAAUUUUAUAAAUUAAUAAAAUUAUCUAAAAUUAUAAAUUUUAUUACAAUUAUAUCUAAAUUUAAAACUUAAAUAGAUAAAAGUAUGUCUUGUUGAUUUGACAAAAUAAUCUUAAUUAUUUUAUUAUAUCAUAAGUCAAGAUAAAUACUAUUUAUAAAAAAAUCUAAAUCCUUUUAGUUAAUUUGCAAUUUAAUUUAAAAUUUUAAAAAUUGAUCUAAUUUAAUUAAAAAUUUUUAAAUUUAUUUGUCUUCAAUUUAGUAUAAUCUAAUGUAAAAAAUCAUAAUUUUAACUUUUUUUUAUUUGUCAUUAAUUUCAAUAAAAAUUAUAAUAAGUCUUAUAUUUAUUGAUUUUUUAUUUUUUAAUAAUUUGUUAGGUGUCUAUAUCAUAAAUUUUACUAUAAUUAUUAUAAAAAAAUAUUAAUAUAAUAAAAAUAGAAAUUAUAGUGUUACUAUUUACAAUUCUACUAUUAAUCUUCUAUUAUAACUUAAUAGUUAUAAAAUCAACACUCGAAAACACAAACAGAAAUAUUGUAUUAAUAAUAGGUAUAAUUAAAAUUUAAAAAAAUUAAGGGAAUCAAAAUUAAAAAAAGAAAAAAGUUCUAUUAUAGUUUAUUGCACCAAAUAUAUAAAAAUAAAUAGAAAUUUAAUAGUAAAAACAUGAUAAAUUUAAAAAUUUUGAGUUGAAUUAUAUUAAUUUACAUCAAAUUAUAAAAUAAUUAAAAUUUUUAAAUUUUUUGUAUUUAUAAUAUUUAUUUACGUAACAUAUGAGUAAAAUAAAAUAAUUUACAUUAUCUUGCGGAUGUGGCAAGAUCCACUUUCCUUAAUUUAAUUUUUAACUUUUAAGAGAUUCAACUUUUAGGUUUGAAUAUAAUUACAAUAAAAUUUAUAAUUUUUAGAUAAUUUUACUGAUUUAUUUAAUUUUGAAUUAAAUUAUAAAAUAAUAAAAAAUUUUAAAAUUUUCAUACAAAUAGGCUUUUUAAUAAACAUUUUAAUUAACCUUAUCAAAAUAAAGUGAAAAUAUUUUCACAAUAGCAUCAAUUAAAUUAUAGGAAAUCAAAUUAUACGAGAAAAAAAUAUUAUUUAAUUUAUAUAAUUCAGUAAAAAUUAAAUACUUAAUUUCUCUAUUUUUAAAUUAAUUAAUUUCUACCAUCUCAAGCCAUUUUGGGGGCAAAAACUUGUUACAUAGCAAAUUAUCAGUAAUCAUAGCAGUGGAUUUAGAUAAAAUUUUUUAAUCAAUAUAUAAAAAUAAAUAAGAAAGUUCUAUAAAAUUAAUAUAUUUGCUUUUUAUAACUUUUCAUUACUUGAGUAGGCUGAUCUAUGUUUAAAAAAAAAGAAAAAAAAAAAAGAAUUAAGACUGAUCUAAACAUUGAUUAGUAUGGCCCAUUGGGCCUCCCUUCUAAAAUAAAUUUUGAAAAUUAAAGAGCCCGAAGCUUGGGCCCGAAACACUGAGAUGCUAACAGCCCAAAUUCCACUACCAAACGGCUAUAACCGUUUGAAAAUGAGCAUAUAACUAAAUCCUCUUCUCAUUUGUCUCUCAUGUUCAAUUUCAAAUCCGUCAAUCUCCUUUCUCGUCCAACGGUUCUUUCCAUAUCUGUGAGAAACCACUUUCUCGGUUGUUUUUACUCCUCUUCUCCAUCUUUCUGUCUCCAUUUCACUUCUUCAAGAAGGAAGUUGAGAAAUCACAACUCCUUUCUCAUGGCGUAUCUAUGAAUUUGUUACCUGGUACACUCGAGUCUCUUUCCUUUUCCUUGNNNNNNNNNNNNNNNNNNNNNNNNNNNNNNNNNNNNNNNGUUUGGCUGCUAGGAUUCGGAAAAGUGAAGGAGAAAACCUUGAGUUUAUUUUUUUGAAUUGCCAUUUCCAUUUUCUUAGUUUCUUUUCGUUUUCUUGGAAAUGAAAACACAGAGCAUUUUGUUUUAUUAUGGAUUAUUUCAUGAUUUUUCAGUCUGGCUAUUUUUACAUGGAUAAUUUUGAGGUUUUUGUUGCUUCUUUUUUUACAUUGUGCAUUUCAAGUUAGCCCAUAUAUAUUGUUUUAAUGAAAACUCUUUAAUGAGUUUUUGAGUCGAUUAAUAAAUUACUAUUUGAUGACCGCUGGAUUUCCUUAUCCCCAAUCCUGGGCCU